CGAGCUUGAUCCUGGCUCAGAACGAAUGCUGGCGGCAGGCCUAACACAUGCAAGUCGAGCGGACAACCUCAAACAGGUUGUUAGCGGCGAACGGGUGAGUAACACGUGAGAAUCUACCUUGUUCAACGGGAUAGCUUAAGGAAACUUGAGGUAAUACCGUAUGAUUCCUGCAACAGGUAAAGAUUUCAAUCGGAACAAGAUGAGCUUACGGUAGAUUAGCUAGUUGGUGGGGUAAAAGCCUACCAAGGCCAAGAUCUAUAGCUGGUCUGGGAGGACGAACAGCCACAUUGGGACUGAGACAAGGCCCAACCCUCUUAGGAGGGCAGCAGUGAGGAAUAUUGGACAAUGGGCGUAAGCCUGAUCCAGCCAUGCCGCAUGAGUGACCUGAAGGUCCAAUGGACUGUAAAACUCUUAGACUAAUGAUUAAUAGUGAUAACGUUAGUUAAAUAAAGCUCCGGCCAACUUCGUGCCAGCAGCCGCGGUAAUACGAGGGGAGCGAGUGUUGUUCAGUUUUAUUGGGCGUAAAGGGCACUCAGGUUGCUUCAUAAGUUAACAACCAAAUCUUGGAACUUAAUUCCAUCACGGUUAUUAAUACUGUGUUGCUUAGAACUUGGUGGAGGUGAUCAUAAUUCCAAGUGUAGAGGUGAAAUUCGUUGAUAUUUGGAGGAGUACCAAAGGCGAAGGCAGAUCAUCAUGCUAAGUUGACACUGAAGGUGCGAAAGCAUGGGGAGCAAACAGGAUUAGAUACCCUGGUAGUCCAUGCCCUAAACGUUGAGAGCUAACAGUUAAACAUACCUGACCGUUGUAUCCUACACAAUCGAUAACAACAAACCAAUACUCCAUUAAGACCAAUAAGGUUGUUAUAUAUAAAUCCGAAGUAAAAAUAUGUUGUAAUAAGUUAAUCGGAAUUAAUAGUUGAUAAAAAUUAACAACGAUAUCAGCAAGAUUGGUUUAAUCGAAGUAAAUGGCUUGAUGUGUUAAAUGUAUCUGAUUCCUAGUGAUUACCAUCAAAGGUA
rnacentral:rRNA from 1 species